GACGAACCGUGCGAACGUUGUUCGGAAUCACUGGGCUUAAAGGGCGCGUAGGCGGGCUGACAAGUCUGGGGUGAAAUGCCGCGGCUCAACCGUGGAACUGCCUCAGAUACUGUCGGCCUCGAGGGAGGUAGGGGCGUGCGGAACUGUAGGUGGAGCGGUGAAAUGCGUUGAUAUCGGAAGGAACGCCGGUGGCGAAAGCGACGCACUGGACCUCUUCUGACGCUGAGGCGCGAAAGCUAGGGGAGCAAACGGG
rnacentral:rRNA from 1 species